GUCACAGCUGAAGUCACAGAGAGUUGAAAAGGGCAAGGUAGAUGGGGAGCAGAUGAGAUGGGAUUGUUGUGAAAUGGGGUUCAAAGAGGAGAAAUUCCAGGGGGAAAGGGGUGGGACAAAGUAUGACUUGGGCAGUGGAGGUGGGGCCUAGAGCUAUCUCCAACUUCAGCUCCAGAGUCUCUGGUUUCUGUUCAAGGACAAAUGGCACAGCAUACUUUCCAAGAUCAAGAACAAAGGACCUCCAUACGGCAGAACAGUGCUCAGAAUGGUCAACUGGACCUCAAGUCUGAGAGCCAGUGAGGAAUUGAGAAGCCUGAAACUUGUAGGAAGAUGAAAAUCUGUUCCAAGAGUAUGAAGUCUCUUGAAGACAGCUGCAGGACUAUGAGGAGAAA